GGUCGAGUGAGACGCCACCUCCUGCCCGCGCCCACACCACGCCCCCAGCACCGCCCGUCACUGCGCCAGACUCCAGACUCCCCCGGAUAUCACUAUAAUGGCGUGGGGGGAGUCAGUCACACAACACCAGUGCGGUUUUACGUGACCCCACACAAAAAUGCUGCGAGGUGUCGGGGUGAGGAUGGUGGGAUGGUGGAAGCGGCGUAACCUGAGACGGGCGGGGAAGACAGGAAUGUGUGGUAAUCUCGAUCAUUUGUAACUCCGGCCAGGUGUUUCCUGUCCCGGGUCGGUGUUUUGGUGUUCUGGUGGUGGAAGGUUGACGUCACUCGUAUCCUCAAUUCUACUCUUCCUCCGGGCAUCCUUUCCCUCCUUCACUCCUCAGGACUCAGGGUCGGGGCGCGGCGGGAGGGAAGGCAGCGCGAGGGAGGGACGGAGCGGCUGGGGAGACUCGCCGAAGGAGGCACUUUUGGAGUAAGAAGAUCCUUUGUGGUUCUGGAGGCUCUUCGCUUCCUGCAAACCUUUCAGUGUCUGGAGACCUUGAAGACCAUGCAGACCCAGAAGACCCUGCAGACCCGGAAGACCACGCCCGCCCUCCUCGUACCUCCGCUUUAGUAUAGACCGCAGAGGCUCUGUGGAAGCGAGCGUCGGGUCCUCCAUCGGGUCUUCGGGGGAGUCGCUGGAGGCCGCUGCUUGGGGGUAACGGGGGAGGCUCGAGGUCGGCGUCUCCGGACAAGGCGGCGGCACGUUCUCAUUGUCGUCCUCCCCAUUGAACUCCGCCAGGGUAGCGCCUUCCCUCCUGGCGGAAUGGAGAAACAGUAGAUGAAAGAGAAGGAAGGAAGAGGCGGAACAGCAGGAAGACAGAGAGGAAGGGACGCAGAGAGAAGGGACGCAGAGAGAAGGGAGAGGAAAGAGCAACAUACCCCUCACUCCUGUGGCUCGCCUCGUAGGACUCCUUCAUGCGGUACAGCUGCUCCUGAAGCUUCCUAUACUCCAGCAGGAACUUCUCAAGCUGCGCCGCGUGGUACUCUAGAUUGCAAGGAUCCUUCGAGCCUCCUGCAGCGCCGCCGGCAGUCCCUCGCUCACCCCUGCGGCGCAACGGGGUAAAAGUGUUGGCGUGGCGCUGACGUCUGUAUGGAGAAGCGAACACAUAAAGAUGUAACACGGAAAAUGCUGCAAUGUCAAUAUGUUGUCAAUAUGUUUAUUUGUAUGUGCAGAAAAAAAAAUACAAAAAAAAAAUAGUGUAGAUGAUCGGUGUAUUGAUAUUCUUGUAUAAAACGAUGGAGAGAGUAAAGAUGAUAUUUUUAUUAAUGAUGUAUCUGUGUGUGUGUGUGUGUGUGUGUGUGUGUGUGUGUGUGUGUGUGUAGCAAAGUAAGUCAGAUAUAUGUAUUUUAAACAAUAUCAAUAAUGCUCGCUCGUUUCUAAAUAAAAAAAAAAACAUUACAAAAAGGCUGAAUUUAUUGAGGUAAAUAUGAUAUUAGAGGUUUCAGUCUUGUCAUAAACAUAAGAACAUAAGAAAAUAAGGAAAGUUACAAGGAGCCAUCAGGCCUUUACGUGGCAGUCCCUGACAUAAAUAUUUUGCUGAUACUAUUGAGAUGUUGAAAGCAAAAGUCUGUAUUGCAAAAUCAAAUGAUAUUAAUCUAGUAUUUUUUUUUUUUCAUAUUUCCUCGAGUGUUUAAUGUAAUGCUUAGUUUUGCAAGUCACCUGUGGGCUUCUUGCAAUACUUCACCAGCCUCGCAUGUACCAAUAUCCUCGAAGAAACUUGAACUCUUAAUAUAAAUUGUGUCGUAAAAGGUUCGAAGGCGUUGAUGAAAAAUUAUAUGUAGAAAAAGGAGUUAGGAUCUUUCUCUCGGCGACCAUAACGAAAUUUACGAAUCAGUGCAAUAGAAUGAAAACUUUACGACGGGAGCAAGACAAGUAAAGAAACAGUGAUAUGUUAAGAUAAAUUUAUAUAG